UCAAACUUCAAUGCAAUCAAAACACUAUCCUCACAAAUCCCUCCGGUCCUAUAAACAAACGGUCUCCUCUCUCUCUAGCUCUCAGAGAUCUUCGCCUAAAACUCACAACCCUCUCUCUCUCUAGAACUCGCAUUCUUGCAGUGACUCGAUUCCAUGGAAGAUCAAGCGGUGGAAAUGUUCCCCAAAAACUGGAAAGACUUCGUUGCGAGUCAGGACUCCAAGCCCUCUUCGACCUCUGAAGCAGAAUGUACUCCAGAUAUUGCUACCAAACCCGUCGAGUGAGAUUCUGAUUAUAUUAUUGGUGAGAGUAGCACGCCGAACGGAACUCAACAAGGUUCUCCAUGUCAGACGGUCCUUCCAGUUUUCCAGAUGAUCUCAACUGGCGUAUCAGGAUAGAUUUAAGGACUGGGAGUCUUCAGGUGUUGAGAUUGUGCCGGUAUUAUCACAACCCCAUGGCGGUUGGACAGGACAAAGUGGUUAUAUGUGCAGGCUGCUUUUUCCAGAGCCAAGCAAAUUUAUAAUCCUCUCUCCACACUCCACAGCUGCUGUGUUAUGCGGGCAGAAGCAGAUGACUGAGGUAUCCUUACUGUUCUCGUUCACAUUUCUCAGUUUGCUUUUGUUACAUUUGUCGUUAUAUUUCAAGUAUGCGUGUACUUGUUUAUUUGACUAUCCGGUUCGUAUGAGAUCAUGUGGCGACUGGUAAUGAAAACUUAUAUUCAGCUGAAUGUCGAUGUACAAGUUUGGUUAUGGCCGAAUCCCUUUUGUAAUUUUGCAUGUUCAAAGUCGAACAUGGGAUUGAAGAUGGAUAUUAUUCUUUGAAUAUAUAACUUUGAAAUUGGACAAAUACCUUUUCUUGAGUCUUGAUCUGCGCCAUACCACUGCCUUGUUUACUAGUUUAACUCACAGUUUAGGUGUAAAUAAUUUGUUGCAACAUCACCUAAUAUCGUCUUCACCCCGGGCCCAUUUUUUUGGCCUCUAGGGUUCCUCAUCAAUAAGAAUUUUGCUCUACGGUUAUUCUAAGUGUAAGUAGUUGUAGACAUCAAAAUUUCGGUGAAAUGAAUGUUGAGAAUUUUUCAUGUUUACAGUAGUAAAUAUAUCCGAAAAUGCCGCACGCUUUAAUGGUCUUGGACCAAGCCAUUUUUCUUAAGGAAGCAAAGCUGCAAGGCGCAUGUUGGAGGGAAUGUUUCUUCAUUAGAUGAUGUUGAGGUCAUUGUCUAUUUAUGGACGUACAUGACACCCUGUUUUUGUGUGAAAAAAGUAAUUCUUUAAUCCAGCAUUGUGUUUUGUUAACGUCGCUUUGAGGAAAAGCUCAGAAUGGUGAUUGGAAGCAUUUGUAUUUUCUUUCUGUUUUGAAUAUUUCGACAAAUUCACUAAACGUUUUUGGUUUUGUUCUCAUGCUUUAGGAUUUGAAGAGAAGUCAAGCUCAUUACAAAUUCCUUUCCGGACCCUGCAGUUCUAAACACCAUUCAGCUGCUAAGUGAGCCUUUUGUUUUAAUUACUCACAAUUAUUUUCUAACUUUCCUUCUCUUUUUAAUUGUAAUUUGUUGUUUCUGGAUAUACAAAUGCAGAAGCUUCAUCGGAAUUGCCCUGGUAUGCCUUCUGAAUACUCACUUUAUAACUGCUGCUUGUUGUGACUAUGCUUAGAAACAUGCAUAGGAGUUAACUGCUAGAUAAACAUGAUUAUGAAUGAUCUUAGAGACUUAGCAAUUCAAUGAUAGGCUAGGAACCCAUAGCUGCUUGUCUGCUUUGACUAUCCUCUGCGUGAAAUUUGAUUGCAUUGAACUGCUUAAAUUUUUUGCAAUAUGAUAGUCUUAGAACUCCUGUGGUUGAUGUGAAUGAAUGAAUUGUUGCUGGAUGCAGGAUCCAGUUUUUCUUUA